rnacentral:rRNA from 1 species
AUUGAACGCUGGCGGCAGGCCUAAUACAUGCAAGUCGAACGCAGUGGGGACGGGUGAGUAACACGUGGGUAACCUCCCAUCAGAGGGGAUAACACUUGGAAACAGGUGCUAAACUGAUACUGAUGGAUGGACUCGCGGUGCAUUAGCGAGUUGGUGAGGUAACGGCUUACCAAGUCCACGAUGCAUAGCCGACCUGAGAGGGUGAUCGGCCACACUGGGACUGAGACACGGCCCAGACUCCUACGUGAGGCAGCAGUGGGGAAUAUUCGACAAUGGGCGAAAGUCUGACCGCGCAACUCCGCGGGAGUGAAGAAGGUCUUCGGAUCGUAAAGCUCUUUUAUUGGGGAGGCGGUAUCUGACCAAAAAGCCACGGCUAACUACGUGCCAGCCGCCGCGGUAAUAC